AUGCUCAGAUCCGUGCUCCGCUUCGCAUCAACUCUCGUCGUGGCCACUGUUGGCCACUGCAAUUUUCCAGAUGAGAUCGCUCCUUCAUUGAAUUUCCCCAUCCUCAAGCAUCUCACCCUGCGUCACGUUAACAUCUCCGUGGAUGCAUUCCAUGGUGUUCUCUCCGCCUGCCAUGUGUUGGAGACCCUAUUUCUGCCUGAAAAUGUUUACAAUGGCUCCCUCCACAUAAGCUCACGAAAUCUUAGGAGCAUCUGCUUCAGUGAUUGUUUUAUGGGCACAAACGAAUUGGUUAUUGAGGACACCCCUCACCUUGAAAGGCUGCUUUGUCCAUGCUUGGACGUCGAGACUAUCCGGGUAAAUAGGGCACCUAAACUGGAGAUAUUGGGCCCAUUGUCACCGCGCAUCUCCAAUGUUCAGAUUGCAAACCUAGUCUUUCAGGGGUUGGUUCCAACCAGCUUCAACAAUUUGAUAUGCACAGUGAAGGUUCUGGCUCUCCAGUUUUAUUGCGCUGAUUUGAAUGCGGUUCUUGACGUCCUCAGGUUCUUCCCCUGCUUGGAAAAGCUUUAUGUUAUGUGGAACAAAUACUUAAACACAGAGAUGAACAAUGGGCGUCAUUAUGACCCAAUAGAUCCAAUCAAAUGCCUUGAGACCCAUCUCAAAACACUUGUGUUGAAGAAUUACAAAGGCGACAAGCAAGAUGUUUACCUUUGCCAAGUUCUUUGUUCUGAAUGGGAAAGUGCUAAAUGCGAUCAAAUUUGGCGUGACUGUGAAGUUCGACGAGAAAUGGGUGGCUGA
rnacentral:rRNA from 1 species